rnacentral:rRNA from 1 species
UACGUAGGCAGCAAGCGUUGUUCGGAAUUACUGGGCGUAAAGAGUGUGUAGGCGGUGCUCCAAGUCUGGUUUGAAAUCUCCCGGCUUAACUGGGAGGGUGCAUUAGAAACUGGAAUGCUAGAGGAUGGGAGAGGUAAGCGGAAUUCCUGGUGUAGCGGUGAAAUGCGUAGAUAUCAGGAGGAACACCUGUGGUGUAGACAGCUUACUGGACCAUUUCUGACGCUGAGACACGAAAGCGUGGGUAGCAAACAGG